GUGAUCGUUAAGUGGAGGAAAUCCUGGCUUCUAAUUGAAUUUAUGUCCCAGGUUUACUAAAUAUAAUCUGGGAUGCAAACAUGCUAAAUCUAGUCAAAAAAUUUGCGUAGUUUGAAGACUUCUGUUCCAUGAUCUUGUACCAAUUUUUUACAUGUAAUUAAGGUCUUGAGACGGAUAGUGGAUUUCUUCCAGAUCAUCACAAUAAUAGAUUUUUCUUUUUGAAUC